UACGGGGGGGGCAAGCGUUGUUCGGAAUUACUGGGCGUAAAGGGCUCGUAGGUGGCCAACUAAGUCGGACGUGAAAUCCCUCAGCUUAACUGGGGAACUGCGUCCGAUACUGGAUGGCUCGAGUUUGGGAGAGGGAUGCGGAAUUCCAGGUGUAGCGGUGAAAUGCGUAGAUAUCGGGAGGAACACCAAUUGCGAAGGCAGCUCGCUGGGACGUCACUGACGCUGAGACGCGAAAGCGUGGGGAGCAAACAGG
rnacentral:rRNA from 1 species